AUUAGAUACCCUAUUAUUCUUUAUUUUAAAAAUUUUGAUACUUAAGUAGUAAGAACUUAAACGCAGUUAUUUAAAUUUAUGUGAUGUUUGAAACUUAAAAGGCUUGGCGGUAUUAUAUAUCCUUCCAGGGGAGCUUGUUUAUUAAUUUGAUAAUCCUCAAUUUAUACUUACUUUUUUUUGAAUUCUGAACAAUUUGUGUAUUGCUGUCGUCAGUUUAUUUUGUAAAAAUUUUGGAAAAAACUUAAUAACGUGAUGGUUAUGAUGUCAAGUCAAAAUGCAGUUUAUGAAAAAGGUUUAAAAGUGAGCUACGAUUUAUAAUAUUUAAUCGGAUUAAAUUGUGUAAUUUGUUUAUGAAGUUGGACUUGGUAGUAACAGAAUUAAAUAGUGAGUUUUUGUGAAUUAGGUUUUAUAAUGCGUACACAUCGCCCG
rnacentral:rRNA from 1 species